rnacentral:rRNA from 1 species
GACGAACGUUGGCGGCGUGCUUAAUACAUGCAAGUCCACUGAAGCAGUGGUAGCAAUAUCGCUGUGGAGGUGGUGCACGGGUGAGUAACACGUAGGUAAUCUGCCUUCAGGUCUGGCAUAACUCCGGGAAACCGGGGCUAAUAGCAGAUGAUGCAGCGGCUCGACAUCGAGACAGUUGUUAAAGCUAUGGCGCCUGAAGAUGAGCCUGCGUCUGAUUAGCUAGUUGGCGGGGUAACGGCCCACCAAGGCAACGAUCAGUAGCUGGUCUGAGAGGAUGAUCAGCCACACUGGAACUGAGACACGGUCCAGACUCCUACGGGAGGCAGCAGUAAGGAAUAUUGCUCAAUGGGAGAAAUCCUGAAGCAGCAACGCCGCGUGAGGGACGAAGGGCUUUUGCUUGUAAACCUCUGUAGUGAGAGAAAAAAAUCCCAAUCUUUGGGACAUGAUGGUAUCUCAAAAGUAAGCCCCGGCUAACUACGUG